GGAGUUCAAGACCAGCCUAGACAACAUAGAACUAAGCGUCUUGUAGAAGGAACUAUUAAUCCAGGAGAAACCUGUUUAAUCAUUGAAGAUGUUGUCACCAGUGGAUCUAGUGUUUUGGAAACUGUUGAGGUUCUUCAGAAGGAGGGCUUGAAGGUCACUGAUGCCAUAGUGCUGUUGGACAGAGAGCAGGGAGGCAAGGACAAGUUGCAGACGCACGGGAUCCGCCUCCACUCAGUGUGUACAUUGUCCAAAAUGCUGGAGAUUCUCGAGCAGCAGAAAAAAAUUGAUGCUGAGACAGUUGGGAGAGUGAAGAGGUUUAUUCAGGAGAAUGUCUUUGUGGCAGCGAAUCAUAAUGGUUCUCCCCUUUCUAUAAAGGAAGCACCCAAAGAACUCAGCUUUGGUGCACGUGCAGAGCUGCCCAGGAUCCACCCAGUUGCAUCGAAGCUUCUCAGGCUUAUGCAAAAGAAGGAGACCAAUCUGUGUCUAUCUGCUGAUGUUUCAGAGGCCAGAGAGCUGUUGCAGCUAGCAGAUGCUUUAGGACCUAGUAUCUGCAUGCUGAAGACUCAUGUAGAUAUUUUGAAUGAUUUUACUCUGGAUGUGAUGAAGGAGUUGAUAACUCUGGCAAAACACCAUGAGUUCUUGAUAUUUGAAGACCGGAAGUUUGCAGAUAUAGGAAACACAGUGAAAAAGCAGUAUGAAGGUAAGUGUAUUAUUCAGGAAUCUGCAAGAAUCAGAAAUCCAGCUUAAACUGAAGAAGAAAAAGGAAAUGCUCAUGUCAUUGAAAGUCCAUUCAUAGAGCAGGCUGUCAAGCGUGGUUGGAUCCAGGAGCUCA
rnacentral:sRNA from 1 species